rnacentral:rRNA from 1 species
UCGGGUUGUAAAGCACUUUUGUCCGGAAAGAAAUCCUUGGCUCUAAUACAGUCGGGGGAUGACGGUACCGGAAGAAUAAGCACCGGCUAACUACGUGCCAGCAGCCGCGGUAAUACGUAGGGUGCGAGCGUUAAUCGGAAUUACUGGGCGUAAAGCGUGCGCAGGCGGUUUGCUAAGACCGAUGUGAAAUCCCCGGGCUCAACCUGGGAACUGCAUUGGUGACUGGCAGGCUAGAGUAUGGCAGAGGGGGGUAGAAUUCCACGUGUAGCAGUGAAAUGCGUAGAGAUGUGGAGGAAUACCGAUGGCGAAGGCAGCCCCCUGGGCCAAUACUGACGCUCAUGCACGAAAGCGUGGGGAGCAAACAGGAUUAGAUACCCUGGUAGUCCACGCCCUAAACGAUGUCAACUAGUUGUUGGGGAUUCAUUUCCUUAGUAACGUAGCUAACGCGUGAAGUUGACCGCCUGGGGAGUACGGUCGCAAGAUUAAAACUCAAAGGAAUUGACGGGGACCCGCACAAGCGGUGGAUGAUGUGGAUUAAUUCGAUGCAACGCGAAAAACCUUACCUACCCUUGACAUGGUCGGAAUCCUGCUGAGAGGCGGGAGUGCUCGAAAGAGAACCGGCGCACAGGUGCUGCAUGGCUGUCGUCAGCU